rnacentral:rRNA from 1 species
UACGGGGGGAGCAAGCGUUGUUCGGAGUUACUGGGCGUAAAGGGCGCGUAGGCGGCCAGUGCAAGUCAGUUGUGAAAUCUCCGAGCUUAACUCGGAAAGGUCAACUGAUACUGCUCGGCUAGAGUGCGGAAGGGGCAACUGGAAUUCUUGGUGUAGCGGUGAAAUGCGUAGAUAUCGAGAGGAACACCUGCGGCGAAGGCGGGUUGCUGGGCCGACCCUGACGCUGAGGCGCGAAGGCUAGGGGAGCGAACGGG